rnacentral:tRNA from 1 species
GCCUGGGUGGCUCAGUCGGAUGAGCAUCAGACUUUGAUCAUCAGGUCAUAAUCUCAUGGUUCGUGAGUUCGAGCCCCACAUCAGGCU